AUUGAACGCUGGCGGAAUGCUUUACACAUGCAAGUCGAACGGUAGAGGGGGCAACCCCUCGAGAGUGGCGAACGGGUGAGUAAUAUAUCGGAACGUGCCCAGUCGUGGGGGAUAACGUAGCGAAAGUUACGCUAAUACCGCAUACGAUCUAAGGAUGAAAGCGGGGGAUCGCAAGACCUCGCGCGAUUGGACCGGCCGAUAUCAGCUUAGGUAGGUGGUGGGGUAAAGGCUCACCAAGCCAACGAUCUGUAGCUGGUCUGAGAGGACGACCAGCCACACUGGAACUGAGACACGGUCCAGACUCCUACGGGAGGCAGCAGUGGGGAAUUUUGGACAAUGGACGCAAGUCUGAUCCAGCCAUUCCGCGUGCAGGAUGAAGGCCCUCGGGUUGUAAACUGCUUUUGUACGGAACGAAAAGGUCUCUCUUAAUACGGGGGACUCAUGACGGUACCGUAAGAAUAAGCACCGGCUAACUACGUGCCAGCCGCCGCCGUAA
rnacentral:rRNA from 1 species